CUGCUCACUUCAGUAGCACAUAUACUAAAAUUGGAACGAUACAGAGAAGAUUAGCACGGCCCCUGAGCAAGGAUGACAUGCAAAUUUGUGAAGCGUUACAUAUUUUU
rnacentral:snRNA from 1 species